AGAGAGGGGCAGUCGGUCUGUACAUGCGUGAGGUGGCGAGAGGCGUGUCCAGGGGGCGGCUAGUAGCGUGUGCCACCGUGGAAAUAUGUACAGACAUAAAGAAGACGCCCUCAAGAAAGGCCUGAGUCCAGACCGAGACCCAGAGAAAUGUAAACAAACGCACCAGUCAGACUUGAUAUAGGAGUGAAUUUGUUGCUUUUUAAAGCGGCAGUCGGUCUGUACAUGUGUGAGGUGGCGAGGGGUGUCGCCAGGGGGCGGCUAGUAGCGUCUGCCACCAGGGAAAUAUGUAAAAACAUAAAAAAGACGCUUCUCAAGAAAGAGAGGGGCAGUCGGUCUGUACAUGCGUGAGGUGGCGAGAGGCGUGUCCAGGGGGCGGCUAGUAGCGUGUGCCACCGUGGAAAUAUGUACAGACAUAAAGAAGACGCCCUCAAGAAAGGCCUGAGUCCAGACCGAGACCCAGAGAAAUGUAAACAAACGCACCAGUCAGACUUGAUAUAGGAGUGAAUUUGUUGCUUUUUAAAGCGGCAGUCGGUCUGUACAUGUGUGAGGUGGCGAGGGGUGUCGCCAGGGGGCGGCUAGUAGCGUCUGCCACCAGGGAAAUAUGUAAAAACAUAAAAAAGACGCUUCUCAAGAAAGAGAGGGGCAGUCGGUCUGUACAUGCGUGAGGUGGCGAGAGGCGUGUCCAGGGGGCGGCUAGUAGCGUGUGCCACCGUGGAAAUAUGUACAGACAUAAAGAAGACGCCCUCAAGAAAGGCCUGAGUCCAGACCGAGACCCAGAGAAAUGUAAACAAACGCACCAGUCAGACUUGAUAUAGGAGUGAAUUUGUUGCUUUUUAAAGCGGCAGUCGGUCUGUACAUGUGUGAGGUGGCGAGGGGUGUCGCCAGGGGGCGGCUAGUAGCGUCUGCCACCAGGGAAAUAUGUAAAAACAUAAAAAAGACGCUUCUCAAGAAAGAGAGGGGCAGUCGGUCUGUACAUGCGUGAGGUGGCGAGAGGCGUGUCCAGGGGGCGGCUAGUAGCGUGUGCCACCGUGGAAAUAUGUACAGACAUAAAGAAGACGCCCUCAA